rnacentral:lncRNA from 1 species
AUUCAUUAGGUCCUAAUCUAUAGAUUUCACAUGACUGAGAAUACAGAUAUGCAUCUGUUGUUCACAGAUACCUUACAAAAAAGGUAGAGGCAUGGAUCAUAAAACCAGUCAGGUUUGGUUUGACCAUCAUUUGCCAUAUGCAGCAUGACACAUCUCCUUCACAUAGAGUGAUCCGGAUGUUGAUUGUGGCGUGUGAAAUGUUGUCCCACUCCUUUUCAAUGACUGUGAGAAGUUGCUGGGUAUUGGCGGGAACUGGAACACGUUGUCGUACACAUCGAUGCAGAUCGUCCCAAAAAUGCUCAAUGGGUGACAUGUCUGAUGAGUAUGCAGGCCAUGGAAGAGUUGGGACAUUUUGAGCUUCCAGGAAUUGUGUAUAGAUCCUUGUGACAUGCGGCUGAACAUUAUCAUGCUGAAACAUGAGGUGAUGGCGGCGGAUGAAUGGCACGACAAUGGACCUCACAGCAUCUCUGUGCACUCAAAUUGCCACCGAUAAAAUGCAAUUGUGUUCAUUGUCCAUAGAUUAUGUUUGCACAUAACAUAACAACACCGCCCCCAUGGUACACUCUGUUCACAACAUUGACACCAGCAAACCGCUAGCCAACACGAUGUCAUACACGCUGUCUGCCAGCUGCCUUGUACAGUUGAAACCGGGAUGCAUCGGUGAAGAGCACACUUCUCCAGCGUGCCAGUGACCAUUGAAGUUUUGAGGAUGGACAACACAGGUCUACACAGAUGUAGCCAACAGCGCAAUACAGGCCUAGAAGAGGAUUCUUUGUCACAUAAAGUGGAAGACUUCAGAACACUUGAAUCGCUAAACGUUUAAAAUGAGCACAGUCCUACAAGCUUUACACACAUCAAUGGACCAUAAUCGCAGCUAAAAGUGACACCAGCAAGACACUUCAGACUAAAGGCUUCUGGGUUUCUCAGAAUGACACUUCUUCUUGAUUUCUUUGUAUUAUAUCUCCAAACAGGGGCUCAGAAACAGGGGGUUACGUUUAAAGUCGUCACAUGUCCAUCACUUUUCAUGCUCAACGUGAAACAAGGCUUUUAUCACACAUUAGAAUACCUGCUGUACUUUUUAGUAAAGCCAUUGGGAAUAUGCAGAGCAGGCAAUGGAGCUCAUUGAUAUGUAAUGACUGACGACAGAUUGUCAAAUCAUUUUUGUUAAUUUCACUCAUUCCAGGUCCAUUGAACAAGCGUGGCGUGCCCACCUCUCCCAGAGAGAGGAGAAUACUCUCUGAUGUGAUAUUGUUGAACAAAUUUGAAACUGUCCUCAGUAAGAAAUUGUCACAUUGUGUGAUAUUGUACAGAGAAGUGAUGAAAUGGAGCAUUUGUCAAGGAAGGGAAUAUAAAAGAUGUGUUGGAGAAAGUUUUGCAUUUACCAGCAUCUGCACGUUUCCACCACAGUAAGAUAGAUGAGUGAAUUAGAGCCCACUGGAAUUCCACUCCUGGCUGUACACAUUUAGAUCUUUAUCAGCCUGUACGCUCCAGAUUAUUUGAUAAGAAACCAUAAAGACAGUCUAUACUUUCUCCAUUUAUGUCUAUUUUUCUUUUUAUUUCUUAUUAUUACUACAAAAAUAUAUUUCAAUGAAAAAACUGUGGAAAUCUGAUCAAAUGUAAGGAGUAAGCCAUGUAUUCUUCUGUUUAGUUGUGUAUCUUCAGUCAUUUACUGUGAACCUUUACGUUCUGUUUAGAUGUUUUUCUGUGAGUAGGACAAUGCCCUGGCUUUUGAAAAGGUUGUAGUAAUAAUAUACGAUACCAUAAAGACAGUCUAU